rnacentral:rRNA from 1 species
AUGGGCACAUCAAUAAGGGAAUGGAGCCCGUCAAAGAGGAGGUCGGAGCGGCGUUGGACCUGGAUCAACUCAUCUAAAUCAAGCGGCCGGCCUCGGCUGGGAGUCACCAACGCUCCACCUGGACGGCGUCGGCUGAGACAGCUCCACAUGCAAUGGCUGGCCGGGGACCAGACCUCGACAGGAACGUGUUGCCCUUUGAGCCGGUGUUCUUUGACCUCGAGAAUGGCAACCAGGAGCUCAAGAGCGACGUCAAGGACCUCUACAUCAACCUCGGGCAAGUAA